rnacentral:rRNA from 1 species
GUGGGGAAUCUUAGACAAUGGGCGCAAGCCUGAUCUAGCCAUGCCGCGUGAGCGAUGAAGGCCUUAGGGUUGUAAAGCUCUUUCGUGGGGGAAGAUAAUGACUGUACCCCAAGAAGAAGCCCCGGCUAACUCCGUGCCAGCAGCCGCGGUAAUACGGAGGGGGCUAGCGUUGUUCGGAAUUACUGGGCGUAAAGCGCACGUAGGCGGACCAGAAAGUCAGAGGUGAAAGCCCGGGGCUCAACCCCGGAACUGCCUUUGAAACUCCUGGUCUUGAGGUCGAGAGAGGUGGGUGGAAUUCCGAGUGUAGAGGUGAAAUUCGUAGAUAUUCGGAGGAACACCAGUGGCGAAGGCGGCUCACUGGCUCGAUACUGACGCUGAGGUGCGAAAGCGUGGGGAGCAAACAGGAUUAGAAACCCUUGUAGUCC